AUCUCGAACGGAAACGCAUGUUGCUUGGAAGACUGUUGACUUAGCUACGUCAGCUGAAGUGACAGGACUUGAUGCAUACUGGGAAUACCUGGUCGAUGUCACGGCGGAGACAUCUUAUGGUGAUUAUGGUCCUUUGAGAAGUCAGUCCGCUCGUAUAAUCAUUCGGACGGCGGAAAAUAUUCCUGGCAGUGUUCAAAACCUCGAGGUUCAAACGGAAACAGCUCUUGACAAACCAAGGCAAUUGAACGUAUCUUGGGAACCGCCAACUGAUAGAGAUCUCAACGGGAUCAUCGUGCGUUAUGAAGUCUACUGCUCAAAUCGAAAC